rnacentral:lncRNA from 1 species
UUAAGGUAGAUGGGGUGUCUAAAUUAUAAUCCAUAGAAUUUUUUCAUAAUUUGCCAAAAUGUAGUUUAUAUAAUGCUUUUCAAAAAAUAAUAAUAAUAAUAAUGGGUCACCGGGCUUAUUUCCACGCUAUACGGUGUUAAAAAUUGACAAAUUUUGUAUAGAUUAUGUAUGGAAAAUCCAAUUUUCUGCAAUAAAGCGUAAUCUACACCAUAGAAUUUUG